rnacentral:rRNA from 1 species
GACGAACGCUGGCGGCGUGCUUAACACAUGCAAGUCGAACGGUAAGGCCCUUCGGGGUACACGAGUGGCGAACGGGUGAGUAACACGUGGGUGAUCUGCCCUGCACUUCGGGAUAAGCAUGGGAAACUGGGGCUAAUACCGGAUAGGACUACUUCCUGCAUGGGUGGUGGUGGAAAGCCUUUGCGGUGUGGGAUGGGCCCGCGGCCUAUCAGCUUGUUGGUGGGGUGAUGGCCUACCAAGGCGACGACGGGUAGCCGGCCUGAGAGGGUGACCGGCCACACUGGGACUGGGAUACGGCCCAGACUCCUACGGGAGGCAGCAGUGGGGAAUAUUGCACAAUGGGCGCAAGCCUGAUGCAGCGACGCCGCGUGAGGGAUGACGGCCUUCGGGUUGUAAACCUCUUUCAGCACCGACGAAGCGCAAGUGACGGUAGGUGCAGAAGAAGGACCGGCCAACUACGUGCCAGCAGCCGCCGUAACAC